GCAGCAGCAGGACCCAGGGUGUGUGCAGUCAGUCAAGCUGACAGAGGGAGACAGGGAGAGGGAAACACGGGCAACAUCUGUGCUUGGUUCAGCUGUGUCCGUUUUCGGUUUCCUCGGGUCUCUCUGCGGUGGUCGGACCGGAUCAUGGACCGGUCUCUGAGCUAGUUCCCGAGGAAAACACGGACCGACCCCCGGAGCUAAACCUGCAGGUGGAGCCUCCAUCAUCCUCACCAUCAUCUCGGCCGGUUCCGCCCAGAGGAGCCCGAGCAGCGCAGCGAGGAUGCAGACCUUCCUGAGGGGUCGCCGGGUGGGCUACUGGCUCAGCGAGAAGAAGAUGAAGAAGCUCAACUUCCAGGCCUUCGCGGAUCUCUGCAGAAAAAGGGGAAUAGAAGUCGUGCAGCUGGACCUCAGCCAGCCUCUGGAGGACCAGGGUCCGCUGGACCUCAUCAUCCACAAACUGACCGACCUCAUUCUGGAAGCGGACCAGAACGAUUCACAAGCCGUGCUGCAGGUCCAGAGAGUACAGGACUACAUUGACGCACACCCUGAGACCAUCGUCCUGGACCCUCUCCCUGCCAUCCGAACCCUGCUGGACCGCUGCAAGUCUUACCAGCUCGUCCACAGGAUAGAAAAGUGUAUGCAAGAUGAGAGGAUUUGCUCUCCUCCGUUCAUGGUCCUCAACACGGAGUGCACCCCGGACGUUCUGGAGCAGCUCAAGCUGCAGGGUCUCACAUUCCCCUUCAUUUGCAAGACUCGUGUGGCUCAUGGCACCAACUCCCAUGAGAUGGCCAUUAUCUUCAGCGAAGAGGACUUGAAGGACGUGAAGCCGCCGUGUGUGAUCCAGAGCUUCAUCAACCACAACGCGGUGCUGUACAAGGUGUUUGUGGUGGGGGACUCCUACACUGUGGUGGAGAGGCCCUCCCUAAAGAACUUCCCUGCUGGGCCUGCAGGUGAGCAGCGGCUGAGGAGUCCAGAGGCGGCGCACAUCCACACCGAACGAAAAGCCAUUUUCUUCAACAGCCACAACGUCUCCAAACCCGAGUCGUCUUCAGACCUGACCUCGAGGGAGAACGUGGAGGGCGUGUCCCCGCCGCCCUGCGAUGACGUCAUCAGGGAGCUGUCCCAGUCGCUGAGGCAGGCGCUGGGCGUGUCCCUGUUCGGCAUAGACGUCAUCAUCAACAACCAGACGGGUCAGCACGCGGUCAUCGACAUCAACGCGUUCCCCGGUUAUGAAGGCGUUCCGGAGUUCUUCAACGACCUGCUCAGCCACAUCAGCGGCCUCCUGCAGAGCCACAACCCGGACUUCGUUCCCGGCGGCGACCAGCCCAAAGGCCUGGCGGUGAGCGGUGGUGGCGGCGCCGGCCCCCAGGCGCCGUGCUGCUGCUGCAGCAGCGUGCGCGGGAAGGAGCUGCAGAGACUGGGCUGCAACUCGGCCGUGUCGCCCAACUUCCAGCAGCACUGCGUCUCCACAAUAGCUACGAAGGCCUCCUCCCAGUGACUGAGCCCGGCCCGGCCCGCUUGAUUCCUGAGAAAAUCACAGUGGUGACACUUCCUCAUCAGCAUCUCUCUGGGCCAGAACCUUUAAAUCCAUACCGGUGAUCCGAACUACAGCGGGUUCAGGAGAAUCUAACGCUUCCCUGUACUUCCUGUUCUUCACGUUGAAAAUAAUCUGCAGCCCAGACCGUUUCCUGCUCCCAGCUUCACCUCAAUGUUUACUUCAUGGGUGUCUUGUAUAAUGUUUAUAUGCGCCGAGGCUUAAUUACAUAUAGUAUGUUUUGUAAGAGUUCUGUAAUUAAGAUCCACAAUUUUGACCUUUUUUUAAUUAAAGGGCCAGUUCAACAGGCAAAAAUAAACAUGUGAAACCUC